rnacentral:rRNA from 1 species
UACAGAGGGGGCAAGCGUUGUUCGGAAUUACUGGGCGUAAAGGGCGCGUAGGCGGCCUUCUAAGUCGAACGUGAAGUCCCUGGGCUCAACCCAGGAACUGCGUCCGAGACUGAAAGGCUCGAAUCCGGGAGAGGGAUGUGGAAUUCCAGGUGUAGCGGUGAAAUGCGUAGAUAUCUGGAGGAACAUCGGUGGCGAAGGCGGCAUCCUGGACCGGUAUUGACGCUGAGGCGCGAAAGCGUGGGGAGCAAACAGG